UACGUAGGGUGCGAGCGUUAAUCGGAAUUACUGGGCGUAAAGCGUGCGCAGGCGGCUUUGUAAGCCAGAUGUGAAAUCCCCGGGCUUAACCUGGGAAUGGCAUUUGGGACUGCAAGGCUGGAGUGCGGCAGAGGAGACUGGAAUUCCCGGUGUAGCAGUGAAAUGCGUAGAUAUCGGGAGGAAUACCGAUGGCGAAGGCAGGUCUCUGGGCUGACACUGACGCUCAUGCACGAAAGCGUGGGGAGCGAACAGG
rnacentral:rRNA from 1 species